UGAUAGGUUCUACACGUGCCUUCUGUCUGCCU
rnacentral:piRNA from 1 species